rnacentral:lncRNA from 1 species
GGGCCUCGCCCUGCCCCGCGGCGGGAACGCGGCCGUGAGGGUGUGGGGUGUAGGUCCGCCAGGCCUGCAACGGCUGCCGAGGGUCGUGGGAUGCGCUCGCCGCGUCCCUGCUCAGGCGGAGGGAGCCCGGCCCGCCGCCAGGGUCUCGAGUCCGGGUCCAGGCAGGCGUGGAGGUGGCGGGAACGGCGCACCGCCCGGGUGGGCGUUGUUUUAAGGCCGCAGGGCUUGGGAGGCUUGUGUUGAGUUACAGGAGUAUGACAACUUUUCAACUUGAGUGCACACACUGUCCCCGGAAUCCCGCGUUCCAGGGAGGAAGCGCCUUUGACAGCGCGCGCCGGUUCGUGGGGCCCGACGGCGUGGGCCUGUGGUUGCGGACCUGGCGGAGAUGCGCGUUCGCUUCGAUUGUAGGCCAUUCCUUUUAGGAGCUGAGAAAGGAUCCGUUUUUACAGCAUUCUCGACCUGUGAUUCUUGGUGGGGGAAACUAGUUAUGUGGAUAAAAAUACAGUUAGCAAAAUAAAAAUGCCAAUUUUACAUUUCCUU